AUGUGUCUGAUUGCAGGAUUAUUCCUCUAUUUUUCUAUAGCAUUAUCAUUUCUCAUUUUAAAACAUUAUUUGCUGUUACUGACCCUUCAUUCCAGAAACACAUCGCUUUCUUCCUCUGUACUGGAGUGUAGCAACACAAAGAUACAGCCAACAAUUUCACUUGGUGGUCUGAUGAACUCUCAUAAAUGCCUUGUUUACAGCAUAAGAAUUCCCACCCAAUGGCUUCAAUCUUUAGGUAGAAAUUUGUCACUUGCCUACCUCUAAAUGCACAGUCCAGAAGAGUAAAAACAGCAACAAUGACAAGAUUCUGUUUAAGAAAAAAGAAGAUAGAUAUUUGGUAAGGAAUUAGUAGUAUCUGCUCCCCUCGUGCCAGUCGUUGUUUGACAUGCUUGUGCAAUUAUACUUUUUCUUUUUUAUAUACUUUUAAGGUAUAUAUUUUUUCAUACAAAAAUGUGCAUAAAUGAGGUCUGCUCUAAAAC
rnacentral:lncRNA from 1 species